rnacentral:lncRNA from 1 species
GGGCGAGGUCUCUGGUUCAAGUCCAGGAUGGCCCAGCUGCGCCAGGGAAAAGAAUAGAAGAAGCAUCUGACUCUUUCAUGCAUACUCCACUUGGCUCGGGGGGGAUAUAGCUCAGUUGGUAGAGCUCCGGCGGAAUUCCUAGUAAAAAAAAUACUGGAUCCUUCCACUUAGAUGAAAAGGAAUUUUUCCCAUAGAGCCAUGGAAUCCCCGAGCCAUUGUGGCUGCAAACUUUGGUAACUCCAACUUCAACUUCGAUUUUAUUAAUAACUACUUAUGAGACCUUUUUU